AUGGAAGGGCCAUCGCUCAACGGAUAAAAGCUACCCCGGGGAUAACAGGCUUAUCUCCCCCAAGAGUUCACAUCGACGGGGAGGUUUGGCACCUCGAUGUCGGCUCAUCGCAUCCUGGGGCUGUAGUCGGUCCCAAGGGUUGGGCUGUUCGCCCAUUAAAGCGGUACGCGAGCUGGGUUCAGAACGUCGUGAGACAGUUCGGUCCCUAUCCGUCGUGGGCGUAGGAAAUUUGAGAGGAGCUGUCCUUAGUACGAGAGGACCGGGAUGGACAUACCUCUGGUGUACCAGUUGUCGUGCCAACGGCAUAGCUGGGUAGCUAUGUAUGGACGGGAUAAGUGCUGAAAGCAUCUAAGCAUGAAGCCCCCCUCGAGAUGAGAUUUCCCAACUUCGGUUAUAAGAUCCCUCAAAGAUGAUGAGGUGAAUAGGUUCGAGGUGGAAGCGUAGCGAUACGUGGAGCUGACGAAUACUAAUCGAUCGAAGACUUAAUCAACAU
rnacentral:rRNA from 1 species